UACGAAGGGGGCUAGCGUUGUUCGGAAUUACUGGGCGUAAAGCGCGCGCAGGCGGUCUUCCAAGUCAGUGGUGAAAGCCCGGAGCUCAACUCCGGAACUGCCAUUGAAACUGUGAGACUUGAGGAUGAGAGAGGUGAGUGGAAUCCCCAGUGUAGAGGUGAAAUUCGUAGAUAUUGGGAAGAACACCGGUGGCGAAGGCGGCUCACUGGCUCAUUUCUGACGCUCAGGCGCGACAGCGUGGGGAUCAAACAGG
rnacentral:rRNA from 1 species